AUUGAACGCUGGCGGCAGGCCUCACACAUGCAAGUCGAACGCGUGGCGGACGGGUGAGUAAUGUCUGGGACACUGCCUGAUGGAGGGGGAUAACUACUGGAAACGGUAUCUAAUACCGCAUACCCUCAGAUGUGCCCAUAUGGGAUUAGCUAGUUGGUGGGGUAACGGCGCACCAAGGCGACGAUCCCUAGCUGGUCUGAGAGGAUGACCAGCCACACUGGAACUGAGACACGGUCCAGACUCCUACGGGAGGCAGCAGUGGGGAAUAUUGCACAAUGGGCGCAAGCCUGAUGCAGCCAUGCCGCGUGUAUGAAGAAGGCCUUAGGGUUGUAAAGUACUUUCAGCGGGGAGGCGUUACCCGCAGAAGAAGCACCGGCUAACUCCGUGCCAGCAGCCGCGGUAAUUC
rnacentral:rRNA from 1 species